rnacentral:rRNA from 1 species
AUUGAACGCUGGCGGCAUGCCUUACACAUGCAAGUCGAACGGUAACAGGUCUUCGGAUGCUGACGAGUGGCGAACGGGUGAGUAAUAUAUCGGAACGUGCCCAGUCGUGGGGGAUAACGCAGCGAAAGCUGUGCUAAUACCGCAUACGAUCUAUGGAUGAAAGCGGGGGAUCGCAAGACCUCGCGCGAUUGGAGCGGCCGAUAUCAGAUUAGGUAGUUGGUGGGGUAAAGGCCCACCAAGCCAACGAUCUGUAGCUGGUCUGAGAGGACGACCAGCCAGACUGGAACUGAGACACGGUCCAGACUCCUACGGGAGGCAGCAGUAGGGAAUUUUCCACAAUGGGCGAAAGCCUGAUGGAGCAACGCCGCGUGCAGGAUGAAGGCCCUCGGGUCGUAAACUGCUUUUGUACGGAACGAAAAGGUCUUUUCUAAUAAAGAAGGCUGAUGACGGUACCGUAAGAAUAAGCAACCGGCUAACUACGUGCCAGCAGCCGAC